UCAAUUGAAAAUUUUGGAAUAAAUGAAUCCUAAUUUCUUUCGUAUCAAUUGAACCCUUAAACCGAGUUGUUUGCAAAUUUUGCCUUUUGCUUAUGUCUAAGUAGGGAGCAUUAUUGAAUAAAUUUGGUUUUGGAAUCUAAAUUUGGGGAGAGUAAAGUAAAAAGAUGUGAUUAGAAACUUGGAAAAGUGAGUUUUUAUGAAAGGGUGAAAUUAUAAAAAGAAACAAGAAAAAGAAAUCAUCCUUGAAACCAUAGAGCAAAGAAAAAGAAAAGAAAGAAAAAAGCAAAGAAAAUGCUCAUGGUUGUGUGGAUAUAAAA
rnacentral:lncRNA from 1 species